AGUUCGGAUUGUAGGCUGCAACUCGCCUACAUGAGGCUGGAAUUGCUAGUAAUCACAGGUCAGCAUACUGUGGUGAAUACGUUCCCGGGCCUUGUACACACCGCCCGUCACACCAUGAGAGUUGAGAAUACCCGAAGUCCAUGUCAAAGUGGCCGAAGGUAGGCUUGAUGAUUGGGGUGAAGUCGUAACAAGGUAGC
rnacentral:rRNA from 1 species